UCUUGACCCGGAGCCGGUGGGAGAGGACGACGGCCGGCGGGGGGGGGAGGAGGCGGCUCUAGCGCCAUUUUGUGGGAACGUAGAGGUAGCUGGGCUGCUCUCGGAUCCCUCGCUGCUUCAGUUUCGGUGUCGCGCUUCCUAGCAGCGGCCUAGCGGAGAAGUAAGAAGAGAUGUCUGAAUAUAUUCGGGUAACGGAAGAUGAGAAUGAUGAGCCCAUUGAAAUACCAUCAGAAGAUGAUGGGACAGUGCUGCUGUCCACAGUUACAGCCCAGUUUCCAGGGGCAUGUGGGCUGCGCUACAGGAAUCCAGUGACCCAGUGUAUGAGAGGUGUUCGCCUAGUAGAAGGAAUUCUGCAUGCCCCUGAUGCUGGUUGGGGAAACCUGGUAUAUGUUGUCAACUAUCCCAAAGAUAACAAAAGGAAAAUGGAUGAGACAGAUGCUUCAUCGGCAGUGAAAGUGAAAAGAGCAGUCCAAAAAACAUCUGAUUUAAUAGUAUUGGGUCUCCCAUGGAAAACAACCGAACAGGACCUGAAAGAGUAUUUUAGUACUUUUGGAGAAGUUCUUAUGGUGCAGGUCAAGAAAGAUAUUAAAACUGGUCAUUCAAAAGGGUUUGGCUUUGUACGAUUUACGGAAUAUGAAACCCAGGUGAAAGUAAUGUCACAGCGACAUAUGAUAGAUGGACGAUGGUGUGACUGUAAACUCCCCAAUUCUAAGCAAAGCCCGGAUGAGCCUUUGAGAAGCAGAAAGGUGUUUGUUGGGCGCUGUACAGAGGACAUGACUGCUGAUGAGCUGCAGCAGUUCUUCUGUCAGUAUGGAGAAGUGGUAGAUGUCUUCAUUCCCAAACCAUUCAGGGCUUUUGCCUUUGUUACAUUUGCAGAUGAUCAGGUUGCCCAGUCUCUUUGUGGAGAGGACUUGAUCAUUAAAGGAAUCAGCGUGCAUAUAUCCAAUGCUGAACCUAAGCACAAUAGCAAUAGGCAGUUAGAGAGAAGUGGAAGAUUUGGUGGUAAUCCAGGUGGCUUUGGGAAUCAGGGUGGGUUUGGUAACAGUAGAGGGGGUGGAGCUGGCUUGGGAAACAAUCAGGGUAGUAACAUGGGUGGAGGGAUGAACUUUGGUGCUUUUAGCAUUAAUCCAGCAAUGAUGGCAGCAGCCCAGGCAGCGCUGCAGAGCAGUUGGGGUAUGAUGAGCAUGUUAGCCAGUCAGCAGAACCAGUCAGGCCCAUCAGGUAAUAACCAAAGCCAGGGCAACAUGCAGAGAGAGCCAAAUCAAGCUUUUGGGUCUGGAAAUAAUUCCUAUAGUGGUUCUAAUUCUGGUGCUGCAAUUGGUUGGGGAUCAGCAUCAAAUGCAGGGUCAGGUAGUGGUUUCAAUGGAGGCUUUGGCUCAAGCAUGGAUUCUAAAUCUUCUGGCUGGGGAAUGUAGAUAGUGGGUUAUGGUUGGUUAGUUAGAAUGGUGGAAAUUCAAAUUUUUCUAAACUCAUGGUAAGUAUAUUGUAAAAUACAUAUGUACUAAGAAUUUUCAAAAUUGGUUUGUUCAGUGUGGAGUAUAUUCAGCAGUAUUUUUGACAUUUUUCUUUAGAAAAAGAGGAAGAGCUAAAGGAAUUUUAUAAGUUUUGUUACAUAAAGGGUUGAAAUAUUGAGUGGUUGAAAGUGAAUUGCUGUUUGCCUGAUUGGUAAACCAACACACUACAAUUGAUAUCUAAAAGGUUUCUCCUGUAAUGUUUUAUCCCUGGACUUGUUAAGUGAAUUCUUUGCAUGUUCAAAGUGGAAACCAUUGAUUAGAACUACAUUCUUUUCUCCUUUUUUAAUUUGAACCCCACCAUAUGGAUUUUUUCCUUAGGAAAAUCUCCUUUUGGGAGAUCAUGGUGUCACAGUGUUUGGUUCUUUUGGUUUUGUUUUUUAACACUUGUCUCCUCUCAUAUACAAAAGUACAAUAUGAAGCCUUCAUUUAAUCUCUGCAGUUCAUCUCAUUUCAAAUGUUUAUGGAAGAAGCACUUCAUUGAAAGUAGUGCUGUAAAUAUUCUGCCAUAGGAAUGCUUCUGUCUACAUGCUUUCUCAUUCAAGAAUUCGUCAUCACGCUGCACAGGCUGCGUCUUUGACGCCCUGAAUGCAAAGAAUUCAUAGCAGUUAAUUCCCCUUUUUUGACCCUUUUGAGAUGGAACUUUCAUAAAGUUUCUUGGCAGUAGUUUAUUUUGCUUCAAAUAAACUUAUUUGAAAAGUUGUCUCAAGUCAAAUGGAUUCAUCACCUGUCAUGCAUUGACACCUGAUACCCAGACUUAAUUGCUAUUUGUUCUUGCAUUGUCCAAAGUGAAAAGUUUUUCUUUUUUCUUUUUUCUUUUUUUAAUCUAGUUUUUAAUAAGUCUGGGUGACCGCACCUAAAAUGGUAAGCAGUACCCUCCAGCUUUUUCUUAGUGCCUCUGUGCAUUUGGGUGAUGUUCUAUUUACAUGGCCUGUAUAAAUCUCCAUUGGGAAAUAAUGCCUUCUAAAAAUAUUCUUGUUUGGGAGAGUGGGCAAAACAUUAUUUUCAAAUGCUUUGUAGCAAAGCCUAUCAAUUGAAAAGAAGGGACUAUCAGUACCUUUCUGUUUGGGAUUUGAAAAGUGGAAUUAAUUGCAAUAGGGAUAAAGUAGAAGAAACCACAAAUUACCUUGUGCCUGAAAUCCAUUAAGAAGCCUGAUAGCUUUAAGAACCAGUAGGGUGGGUUGUCUGUCUGUGGAAGUGUUAAGUGAAGUGGGCUUUGCCCUCCAAGGGAGGGAAGUAUAAUAAUGUUGAAUAAACUCGCUUACAGAACUCAGAUUAGACUCUCACAAUGCAUUGUUAAGAAUGUAAAAGCAAUAAUAUAUAUUGAUUCUUUAUUGUACUUUUAUGUAAAUGCUAAUCCUGUGAGAUAUAAGGAUCUCGUUUUCUAACUGGAAGAAUGUGACAGUUUUUGUGUUGGUAGUUUACCUGAUGCCCUUACCUACUUAGACUACAAUAAAUAGGUUUGUCAUUCUGCAAGUUGAGUGUUUUAAACAUUUAUAAGUGAAAUCAUCCUUUAGACUGUGAUUGCCACAUUGUUUUGUUAUGCAGUUUCCUCUGUAAAAGGAUCUUGAGUUGUUUUAAUUUUUUUCUGCAUCUGAAUCUGCAUGAUUUCCAAACCCUGUACCAUCUGAAUUUUGCAUUUUAGCACUUGCACUAUUACUCAGCAGCAGUAACAUGGUAACACUUAAAAUGGUAUUCGGGGACCUCCAAAGACUAAACUGACAAGCCUUCAAGGAGCCCAGGGGUAAGUUAACUUAUCGAUGGCAUGGUUUUAAUACCUUAUUUACACUUGUUAAAGCUAGUUGCUGGUCAUAGAAGGCUUUCAAUGUUGAGUAGCCUUUUAUUUAACAUGUUUAUGAUACUACAUAGUGGGUAGUUAUUCUGCCCUUUAAAAAAAAAUUAAAGUUUAGAAGUACUUAAACUAUUUGGCAAAGAUUUGUUUUUAAAAGUCUUAUUUGGUCAUCUAAAUGCAUUCAUUCUAAAAAUUUUUUUGAACCACAGUUGAAUAAAAAUUUUAUUGUCACCACAGUUUAGUGUCUGGAGUCUUACUGGAAAAACAUGAUUUCUUUUUCCUAUGUGACAAUGAUGCUGGAAAGUUACCUUUAAAAAGUGAUUAUCAAGAAAUUACACUUUAUAUGCACAAGAGAAAUUAGACCUAAAGUCAGAGUGAAUUUUCAUAUAAUGUUAACUAACUAAAUUGAAAAACUUAAUUAAAUAUUUAUUGUUAAAUUUUUUAGGGAAGAAGGUUGGGGAUGUUACUCUGGCAGAGCAUUUGCCUCACAUGCAUGAAGCUCUGGGUUCAGUCCCCAGCGGUGCAAAAUAAAUAAAUAAAUAAAAAGUUUUAGGGAUAGCCAAGUAAAAUCAAAUUAAAUUUUAAGAUUAAAUCAGCACCUGUAUUUCCAUAGUAGGAACAGUAGGAAGUUACACAGUAAUUCAGUUGCAUCUGAUAAUUAGAAUUUUUAUUAUUACACACAGGAGAGUAUCUCUGAAUUGAAUAAUAGAAUUAUCUACUCAGCUAUGGUAGAAUUUGUCUAUUGUUAAGCUUACCUGUGCCCAAGAAUUUUGUGUUCAGUUAAGGAAAAGGGAAAAAAAAAAAAACUUCAGAUUUAUCUAUAAUAUGACCACUUGUUUCUAGUACAUUUCAUUUUGUGGAAAUACCAGAUUUGAUUUAGACAGUAUUCUGAAGUUGAACAUUAUUUAGGUUAUUUCCAAUUAAUAGGAACAUCUUAUCUACCUGGGAAAAAAAUGAUUUUUCAAAGUUUCUCCCCUAAAACCCAUAGUGCUAUAAUAUAUAAAGCACUCUUUGAGAUCAGUAAAAACAAGUGGAAAAUAGACAAGCAAUUUGCAGAAAUGCAAACAACUAGUAUGAAAAGGUGGGCUUUGUAAGUAAAUGCCUCUUAAGCAGUGAGUUAUAUUGGGGUGGUGAAGGUGAAUGUCAUUGUAUUACUGUGAUGGUUUAUGUCCCCUUCAAUCAACAAGUAAGGUGGCAUUAUACUAUUAAAUGGAUUAGUACCUGUAACAGUGUCACCUGGAGUUUGGGUUAUUUUGUGUGUGUGGUGGUGGGGGGUGGUAGCUGCUAUGUCACAUUACUGCUAAGAUCUUUUACAGGGUUCUAAAAAUGACUCAUUUACUGAUUGAACACAUGCAAAUUAAAAAUUAUUAAUUAUGUUCUCAAUCCAGGGAAUAUAGUUAAUGACUUUCGUGUAUACCCCAUACUGACCUGCUUCCCCACAAUUAAUAGAACCCCAAGACACUAAUCCCCCUACAAACCAAGUCUCUGUUUUGUUGUCUAGAAAUACUAGUGCCCCUCCACUGUCACCUCUGCAGCUAUCCUUGCCUCCAGUUUCUAAGCCAGCACAAAGCAUGUUAUCAGUUACCCUUCCCCCUGGAUACUGCUUUUCAUAAGCAGCAGUACAUUUUUGAUGGUCAACAAUUGGUAUGUCGACAAACAUUAGAUUUCUAGCAAGAAAACCCCUUUGAGUUAAUCCCCAACCAGAUGCUGUUCCAAUGUCAUUUGUCCUCAUCAAAAAUUCAGCUUCUUUUCCUGGCAGACAAAUAGGCAUGAUGUUGCUAUUGAUUACAACUUUGUUCUUCAAUUUAAUCAGUGCUAUGUCAUUGUCGAAACCAGCCUCAUGAGUGUAACCUUCAUGUAUAAAAACAGCCUCAGCCCAGGCUUUUGUGUAGUUAGGCGAUAGUCUAUUCAGGAUGCCCAUUCGAAUGUCCAGGGAAGAUACCUCUUCUUUUUGCCCAUAUAUGGCGUGAGCAGCUGUUAGAAUCCAGUUGUCAUAUAAAAGUGCACCUGCUGCUGUAGUUUGACCUAGUAACAGGACUUGCCAGGGGAAAUCACCAGGCUGUGCCCUUUGCCCUCCGUAUAUGCGACCUCUUGUAGUCCGGGCUGAUAGUCCACACACUGGGGAAGAAGCAGUGAGAGAGACUUUGUAAAAAUCCAGUGGGGCUUUUUUUUUUUUUUUUUUUUUUUUUUUUUAAGUUUUUACCACUUUGGUGGUGUGUAUGUUUAAUGUCAGCCAAAAAUUAGGUCCUACAAGUAGGAUGUUUCCUUACAUAGGUGCGUAAGACUAUUCUAAAAUAGCACAAUUCAAAGUUGUAAAUACUUUUGGUAUUUCUUAGUUCUUCAGGAAAUGUGAGUGAAAUUUAAAUUUUGGAAAUUUUUUUUUUUUUUUUUUACUAAAAAAAUUUGGUCUAUAAGAUUUGGGGAGCUGUGUGCAGUGCACAUGCCUAGAAUCUCAGCAACUCAGGAGAUUGAGACAGGAAGAUCCAAGACUAGCCUGAGCAGCUUCACCCCUGUCUCAGAAAAUAAAAAGGGCUGGGAUGUGUCUCAAUGGGAGAGUGCCCCAGGUUCCAUCCCAGUACCAUCCAGGACCCUUCAGGUCAGAAAUUAUUGUUUGUGGUCUGGUUGAUUCUUCCAAACACUGAAUCUUACUGUGUCCUUAUUGCAGAUUAAUUAUGCUCAUUAAUGUAGCAUAUGUUUCCCGUUAUGGCAGUAUACUUGUAUUAAACUCAAAAACGUUGUGUCGGCCAAGUAUAGGUUUAAAAAAAAAACAAUUUAAGCCAAAUAACAGAGGGAUAAUGAAUAUAUUAUUACCUUUCAGAUUUUUUUUAAAAAAAAUCAUUCUCAAUUAUUAUUGUUAGAGCCAAUUCUGGUUUAAAAAAAUUAAGCAUAUUAAAAAGCAAAUUGCAUUAAUGUUUAAAAACCUAGAUGUCAUUGAAAACAAUUGCUUAGGGAAAUAAUGAAGUUAUUAGCUUUGGGUUUUAAUAGCAUUUUUACAGAGAAGAAAAGUAACAACAGAAGAACUCGUGUUUAUAAAUGUAUAAAUGGUUCAAGAUAAUUUAAAAAAUCAUUUAAUUUUUUAUGCUUGCCUAGUUAUAAGGUCAAAAAUAAUCAAAUGACUGAUGCAGUCAGCACUGCACAACCUCUCUGUGUGGAAAGGGGAUAAUGAGAACAGAUUAUUUGGAAAUAAUAACUUGGUCUAAGAGCCAAGUGCUAAAGUUCCAUUUCUGCCUACCACAGCUAAAGCACUUCUUAUUGUCUCCCACCCAGUUCUCCUUUCUGUCAAUUACGAAUCUUGUAUAAAUGUGUCCAUUACCAGGCUCACAGACUGGGAGUGAUUUUUCUCCUUUGGAGCUCGUCCAGAAUCCAUCAGCCUCACACACAUAUUUACCUGCAAAUCAUUGGAAAAGCAAAAAUGUUUAACUGCAUGUAUAAGUUGGUUGUCAUUUGCUUGAAUACCCCCUUGAAAAAUGUUGAUUCUUGAGCAUCCGUGGGAGGUAGAGGUGUCUGACUAACCAUUUUACAUGAUUUCAUAAAUAGGAGGUCUCUGCAUUACCAUGUUUGCUUGCAAAGUGGAAACCUUUUAGAUGUGUAACUUGAAUAUGUAUCAAGAUCUCAAGUGCUUAAUGAUAACGUUUUGACUUGUUAAAUUAAACCAUUUGGAAUAUA